AUUGAACGCUGGCGGCAGGCCUAACACAUGCAAGUCGAGCGGAUGAGAAGAGCUUGCUCUUCGAUUCAGCGGCGGACGGGUGAGUAAUGCCUAGGAAUCUGCCUGGUAGUGGGGGACAACGUUUCGAAAGGAACGCUAAUACCGCAUACGUCCUACGGGAGAAAGCAGGGGACCUUCGGGCCUUGCGCUAUCAGAUGAGCCUAGGUCGGAUUAGCUAGUUGGUGAGGUAAUGGCUCACCAAGGCGACGAUCCGUAACUGGUCUGAGAGGAUGAUCAGUAACACUGGAACUGAGACACGGUCCAGACUCCUACGGGAGGCAGCAGUGGGGAAUAUUGGACAAUGGGCGAAAGCCUGAUCCAGCCAUGCCGCGUGUGUGAAGAAGGUCUUCGGAUUGUAAAGCACUUUAAGUUGGGAGGAAGGGCAGUAAGUUAAUACCUUGCUGUUUUGACGUUACCGACAGAAUAAGCACCGGCUAACUCCGUGCCAGCAGCCGCAGUAAGAC
rnacentral:rRNA from 1 species